AUUCCCAUCACCCCCAAAAACCCUUAAAUCAUUUUUCUCCUCUUCCUCUCGAAGAAUGCAGCAGCGCCGCACCCUCCAUACUCUCUUUUCCUCGCCUCCACUCUCCUCCGACUGGCGAGACCACGCUGCUCUGACCGCCACCACCGGUGAGGCUCCCCCUUGCCUCCUCCAUUUGCUCUCUCUCUCCCCCGGAAAAACCCCAUCACCAGCCACCUCCUUCUCCUCUUCUCCCUCCAUCCCCCUUUCUUCUCUUUUUCGCCGAUGGAAACACCGACGAACCACCAAUCGACCCUCAUCCGUCGGUGAGAUCGACAACAACAAAAUGACGAUUUAUGCUUGUAGCUUCGGCCAGCGAGCCAGCGCGAGGACUAGCCAGCUACAAGCGCCGCCUCCACUUCUCUUUUCUCGGGUGAGGUUGAGUAAAAUAAAAACAGGAGCGUUAAAGCUCCGACCAGUCGACUCCGGGAGGUCGAUAACAACGCACCGAGCUCCGACUAGCCACUCCGAUCAAUGGAUAUGAUGGAAACAACGAGCACCAUUUUGGAUGUAGUUUGGUCAGCAUGAAGCUUCAAGAUUUUGGCUUAUUAAAGACAAAUCCUUACAGAUCUGUCCGAGUUCAUUGUUUCAAGUUGGGCAUCAGAUCGAGUUAUUUCUUGCUGGCUUAUUUUCUCUGCUUAACUGGUUAGUGUUUCUAUUCAAGUUAAUUUCUGUUUUGCAUUAGUGUACUAUUUAAUUUAAUUUAAUUUGUAACAAAUAAAAAGGAAAGCAUCCGGGUCAGUUUUUUUUAAUUCCUUCUUGCUAUGUGUGUGAUUUCAUACUCUUCAUAACUUGUCUGAAUUCUUGUAUAUCUGUUUUCUGCCUAUGUAUAUGAAAUAAUUAAUAUUAUGUGCGUAAGUUGAUGCCUAUAAUUAAUAUUAUCAUCUUGCUAUAUUAGACUGCCUUUAUGUGUUGUAUAUUUGUCGGUAUCUCCCUUUUGUUUAACAAGGUUUUGAACAUAAGGUUAAAGAUGUCGAAGAGUUCGCCUGGGACCGAAAUUCCGGACGGAAUUAGUUUUGCUUAGACUUUUAUGUAUUAUUAUUGCUUUAUUUCAAUUUUUUUGUAAUAAUUUUGUAUACUCCAACUGCUCCAUACAUAUAUGAAAUAACUUGGGAGAACCGUCUAAAGGGGGAGACAAAGGCGAAUCCAGGAUUUAAAGAUAGGGGGGUACCACUAAGAGUGGCUCAAGGGUAAGGCUCAGAGUAGCUUAAGGGUAAGUUAGCAAAGCGCCUUGCUUAGGCCUCCAAAAUUUUGAGGCCCCAAUAAUUUUGGCUUAAGGAUAAGGUUAGAAAAAUACAACAUCUUUCUUCAUACUAUACUCUAACCAUCUAGAAUAUUAAACCUUAAUUAACCAUGCCUUACAAAAUCGACGCAUUUUCGUUUCGAAUCUAAUUUGAGGAUAUUCAUUACCAUUAAUAUCCGGUCGACAAGGCCCACGUUGAAUAUAGUGUCUUCUCACUUCAUCUCGUAAUCCAGGGAUAUAUUUAUCAAUGGAUAUUCUUUCUCCAGGACCCGGUUUAAGUGAUUGCAAAUCAAACUCAUCUAUAAAAUACGAAGAAUUGUCUCUAAAACUAGCACUUGGUUGAGAAGAAUUAUGUUUCGUUAAAAAUCUAUCAAUUUCAAAUCACAAGAAUCAACAACAAAUUCUUACAAAAAAAAUACGCUUAUAAAGAAGAACUUACCAAUUUAUGCAAGAUAAUGGGAGUAGGACUUCAAUUAUGCAGUGAAGAAUACUUGUAAGUUGUAGAUUUUCUUGCCGUCUUAUAUUUUGUUUAAAACUGUGUUAGGGCUUUUAUUUGUUUUUAAUUUCAAUUAAGAAAAGAAUGGGGCCAGACGAGAUGGCAAAAAUAGGGUGGUUAAGAAGGGGGUGGGGAUGAUGAGGUGGCAAUUUUUUAAAAAAGGUUAACUGUAAUGCAAAAAUGAUUUUAAAGGAAAAAAACACAGUCUUUCACGGGAUUCGAACUCACGUAGUCGCGGUCGGAAAUUGCAGCUUUGACCAAUGCACUAGGCGUCUUUUUGUUACAAGGGUGCACAAUCAAAUAUAUUAUUAUUUUAUCAAAUAUAUAUAUAUA